rnacentral:misc_RNA from 1 species
UGGUAGAGGCAGGCUUAGCAGGUCG